UUUUAGAACUGCGAGUGCAGGGAUGUGCUCCUCUUUCCCUGGGAAAUCUUUGUUCACGUUGCUCGUCCCUCCCAGCUACGGGAUCACCAAAGGUGCUUCAUGUGAGGAAAAUUCUGCACAAAGGAGCUCCAAGCAGGCGCUGAGGAACAAUCAGAUCUCUGUGCGCACGGGCUGCCGCUUAGCUGAAGAAGAAAAGGCAGCUCUAAGACAGACAGAUGCAGAGAGAGCCCGGAGAUGCUCACGCUGAGGAUGGAAAUUAA